rnacentral:rRNA from 1 species
AUUGAACGCUGGCGGCAUGCUUUACACAUGCAAGUCGAACGGUAACAGGUUAAGCUGACGAGUGGCGAACGGGUGAGUAAUGCAUCGGAACGUGCCCGGUCGUGGGGGAUAACGCAGCGAAAGCUGCGCUAAUACCGCAUACGAUCUGAGGAUGAAAGCGGGGGACCGUAAGGCCUCGCGCGAUCGGAGCGGCCGAUGUCAGAUUAGGUAGUUGGUGGGGUAAAGGCUCACCAAGCCAACGAUCUGUAGCUGGUCUGAGAGGACGACCAGCCACACUGGGACUGAGACACGGCCCAGACUCCUACGGGAGGCAGCAGUGGGGAAUUUUGGACAAUGGGCGAAAGCCUGAUCCAGCAAUGCCGCGUGCAGGAAGAAGGCCUUCGGGUUGUAAACUGCUUUUGUACGGAGCGAAAAGGUCUCCUCUAAUACAGGGGGCCCAUGACGGCACCGUAAGAAUAAGCACCGGCUAACUACGUGCCAGCAGCCGCGGUAA